UUAUGAUCAGAAUGAAAAUUUAAAUGUCACUAUUUUGAGAUGGGCCUACUUUAAUACUCAAACAUUAACUUCCAAUCUUUUUAUGCUACUGCCCUAUAUUAAUCAACCUAUUUUUGACUGCUCAGAUUCUCGUGUUAUUGAUAUCCAUCUUCCAUUUGGGGUAUACUAUUUAUGUGGUAGUUGGGUGGUAAAAAGACUUCCAUGUAAUUGGGUGGAAACUUGUUAUCUAGGUAAUAUUAUCCCAGCAUUAACCCUUCAUGAAAAUUUGCCUGAAUGAAGGAUGAGGAAUAAAAGAAAGAUUAUUAGUUCCAAAAAGGAUAAAACUGAAAGAACUGUAAAAUCUGGUGAAGGAGAUACGCUAUUUGCAGGUUUUGUACCUACAUGGGGGGUUAUUGAAUUAAUGUACAAAUUAAACUUGUUAGGAGAUAUACUAGAUGAAGCCUUUAAUAAUACAGGAGAUGCUAUUGAAAAAUUGUCUGCAGAACAGGAACAAGCUUCAGCUAUGAUUAUGCAAAAUAGGUUUGCCCUAGAUUAUUUGUUGGCCUCCAAAGGUGGUGUUUGUGCACUAAUAAAAGCAAGAUGUUGUUUAAAGAUAGAUAAUGUUACUGGUCAGAUUCAUACAGAUGUAGAUAAAUUGCAUGAAGUACAAAUUAAACUUAGAGAAGUUCAUGAUACUUCUUCGGGAGGUUUAAAUUGGGAUUUUGACUGAAAUUUUGGUUUAACUAAUUGGUUGGGAACAAUGGGAAAGCGUCUUCUCAUUUGAGUUAUUUUAGUAGUAUUGAUGCUUGUGUUUAUAUAUGUUGCAGUGAAUGUCCUGAAGUGUGCAUGCCGAUUGACCCUCAAGAGCUGUUCACCUUCAUCUCCCCCUGGCACAAUUUCUACUGACUAUGUUGAAAUGUCUCCUAUCCGGUCACAACUCAUACCGACUUGGACUACAGACAUACUUUCUCAUGAAGAUAUUGAUCAUGUGCGCAUCUAUUUGGUAAGUCCUGCAAGUGCUGUUUAAAAUCACUAGCUCACUGAAUGACCUUCGCUAAACAUGGAAGUGUUGCACGGAGCUUUUUGUGGUGAAAGUCCUAGCACCAAAGGGAGGACGGUGAACAUAUGUAACCUGCUACUGACAUGCUGUCAGCCAUUUUGCUGUUUAUUCAUCAUCUUAAAAUAUAAUCAAAGAAGAAUAUUUACUCUAAGAAAUAAGAAGAAACUAUGUUUUAUUGCUACAAUUUAUUAAUGGAUGUAGCGGAGAUGCAAUAUUCCCCAGGUUAUCUCCGCUUAUAAUCCAAGUCAGGCUCAGGAACAAGUAAAUAGUAAAUCCAUAGGCAAGGUUUCCAGCAGGUAAAAUAACAGCAAUAAUAAUAAUCCCCUUAUCCAGUACAGUAAUUCCCCCCCGUUUCUGGAUGUACCCCUAAACAUCCCCGGAUAGCCCUGAUCUGGGUGAACAACAUAUCCAAAAAUCACCCAGAUCAGACCAGGGGUUCGGGAAAUGUAUGGAUGGAAUAAAAUGACCGACCGCACUAACUGAGACAGCCGAAUGAGGUUCCAUGCGAAUGGGCCCUGCGGUCGCUCCUGGCAUAAGAGAACAAAAUACACGAAAGCCUCUAGCUAUAGAGGCUAGGGAGGGUUCGCCUGAAUCCCCUCGUUCGGUUCUUUCUAUCUACCGAACGAGGGGCCGUUCGGUAGUUAGGAACCGAACGGACCUGGCUUGUGGAGGUCUCAGCGGUGUUCGCCUACUCGAGUGUCCGAUUUUAGUUCCAGACACUCGACGGCAAAACACCGCUGUUCGGGAGUUUUAAAAUGGCCACGUGUUCGUUUGUCGAAUGGCGGCCACCCCCGAGAACAAAGGACAGCUACUUACUAGUCAAUUACCCGUUCGCAACAAUGUUGCAGCGGGUAAUUGAGGACACACUUCACACAGGGGAGGUCUGGUUGUUCGGUAGUUUCAUUCGAAUGAACUAAGGGAAUGAAACUACCGAACAAUCAGAGGAAUACAAUUCUUUUAAAAAAACAUAUAACACAGCAGAUCACACGAAUGCAGUUAUGUACAAUACAUUUGCAGGACAGCCUGGUGCCAUCCGCUACACUGCUCCCCCUUGCCCACAAGCCGGCAUACACAGUCUGAUCAAACACAGAUCGGCUUGGGGAUGUCCGGGGAGGCUCACGGAUCAUUUCUCUAGGUCAGUUUGUCUUGACAACCCGUCAGCGUUUCCAUUCUGUUUACCCGGGCAGUACUGAAAUCCCAAUACAGACCUUGUAUUCAUUCUAACUUAACUUUUUGCUCUCUCAACAACAGACACUAGAGUGCCUGGUAGGCGUCCUCCAGCCAAAUCUCUUUCCAUACUAGUCUCACAAGCUUUGAUACCCACUCGUUCAGGGGCUUCUCUCCCAGGAAAGACAUUCGCAGAGCCACUUGCCUCUGGAUCCGCUGCUCUUCACUGGGGAGCCUCUCACCUCGCUGACGCUGCACAUCCACCAAAGUUCCUUUCUGGCGGUCUCCCGGUAGUAUAUCAUAGCCUCUUCUGAUAGAGGCCCAUCCUGCCUUGUUCAGCCCCCAUUUACUCUUCAGGCAGACUGAGAAAUACAACUCUUCACUAGGAGAGACUGCAUAGACUCAUCAUGGGAAGACCCCCAGAUGGCAGGUGAAGAUGGGACCGAGGUCUUUCUACCGGCCCUACAGGGAUGCUGGGCAGCCAACCCAGAUCCCCAGCGGCAGAGUGAGUUCCAGGGAGAGGAGAAAACCAGUCUCUCUCCCCAGGAGCAGUGUGCCCCCAGGGAGCUGAAGGUGCCGUCCUUCCUCUUCAGCAGCAGAGUGAGUUCCAGGGAACCGAAGGUGUCGUCCUUCCUCUUCAGCGGCAGUGUGAGUUCCAGGGAGCCGAAGGUGUCGUCAUUCCUCCCCAGCGGCAGUGUGAGUUCCAAGUAGCCGAAGGCGCCAUCCUUCCUCCCCAGCGGCAGUGUGAGUUCCAGGGAGCCAAAUUUGUCGUCCGUCCUCCCCAUCGGCAGUGUGAGUUACAGGGAGCCGAAGGUAUUGUCCUUCCUCCCCAGCAGCAGGGUGAGUUCCAGGGAGACUAAGGUGUAAUCCUUCCUCCCCAACGGCAGUGUGAGUUCUAGGGAGCCGAAGAUGUUGUCCUUCCUCUCCAGCGGCAGUAUGUGUCCUUAGGAGAGGAGACAGUUGGUCACUCUCCCCAGCAGUCCAGUGAAUUACAGGGAGACAAAGGUGACAUCCUUCCUCCCCAGCGGCAGUGUGAAUUCUUAGGAGAGGAGACAGUCGGUCCCUCUCCCCAGUAGUCAAGCGAGUCCCAGGGAGCCGAAGGUGCUGUCCUUCCUCCCCAGUGGCAGUCGGUCUCGCUCACCAGCAGCAGGACAAUAUAUGGAAAGGGGAGACAGUCGGUACCCCCCUCUCCCAGCAGAGAGAGUGUCAAGGAGAGGAGCCGGUCACCCCCUCUCCCCAGCGGCUGAAAGUGUGUAAGGGAGAGGAACUUGGUACCCCCUCCCCCAGUGGCAGUCUAUGGUUCAGGGAGAGGAGCUUGUUACCCCCUCUCCCCACCGGCACAGAUGGGAGUACGGACAGUCGGUCCUACUCCCCAGCGGCAGAGUAUUCUAUUGGGAGUGGAGACCAUCGGUUCACCUUCCCAGCGGCAGCCUAGCCCACAAAGGGGAGAUGCUAAGCCCCACACCAAUGCAGAUGGGACCGUGGUCUCUGCACAUGCAUCACGGGGGGUAGGGACGGUCGGUUCUGUCCCCCAGAAGCAGGGUUGUUCAUCCAAAGGGGAGACAGCCUGGCUUCCCCUCCAGCAGCAGCCCCAGGUCCGGAGUGAGGAGCCUACUACGCCGUUCCCUCACCUGGGCUCCAACUAGGCUACUCCUGUGGUAGCGCUGACAACAGGUGGUCUCUGCCCACUCAGCAACCCACCGAUCCAGAGUGCUAGUACCCCCCCUCAGAGGCGAGGUGGAGCUCCUGGACAUGGACAAGCGACCCACUACCCCAGGUGUAGUAACCAAUUUUUGUGGGUGGGUUAUACUGCGGAUUCUGUUUUGUGGGUGGGUUGCUGGACUAACCUGGGCACUGACCGGCAGGAGGUCAGAUACCCUGUUAGUCUGGUGGGUAAAGGGGAGAAAUGUGAUGGAACAGACCUUGCCACGUGUUCUUGGAGGGGGCUGCUUGCCCUCCUCCUACCUUCUGACUAUGGCCCUGGGAUAUAUGGCAUUUGAAAACACUAUUUGUGCUCUGUGACAAAACUGGAGAUUGUGCACAAAUAUGACUAUUGUCCAUAUUUUUUAUGAUUCCCUUCGUUUGUUGCACUGUUCUCCAUGUGUUUCAUCUGUUGGUUCUGCUGGAUAGCCUACCAGACAAACGGUGGAUUUACUGGGUGGCUACCAUUUCAUGUAUCAGAGCAAUGGAUGAAGCACAUGGUAAGAACAAUGGAUGGCGGCCAUUUUAACUCAGAGACACUGUUUUGCCUUUUUGCCAGUAUCUUGCCGGUAUUUGGUGCACAAAGACAUCGUUCAGUAGUUUUAAACUACAGAACAGGGGACACAUUUAACAGUAAUUAUUUUUCAUAUAGCCUGUAUAUGUUCUGCGGAAUCUGCAUUAAACCGUAUCUUCCAAACUACUGAACGGCUCUAGGUGAAUUUUGGAUAUGUGGUUAACAUAAUUAUCACAAGCAGGAAAAAUACAGAUUUUAUACAUGUGCUAUAACUUUAAAAAUAUACGUCCAAUCUUCAUAAAAAUUACAUAUUCAGAAUCCGCAUGCUUGAAAUAUACACAUAUUCAAAAAUCAGGGCAAUCGGUUCAGGGGUUAAAAAGUUAAGGGAAAGUCCUAUUUGACCAAAUGAAGCAUGGUUUUUCUGCCCAAAACCAGUUCCACAGAGUCUUCUAUCUGCCCCUAACACCCCCUCCUACAAGGUACACGCUCCCUCAGCUCCAAACGUAUUGAAGCUCUACAAAAGACACCUAAACCUGUUACAAAGAAGGAGUUGCUCACCUUCUUGGGUAUGAUUAAUUAUUGUCAUCAGUGGAUACCUGAAUGUUCAUACUACGACUCAAUUUUGAGAAUGGUUGUAAAAGGGGACAGCCCAGAUUACAUCAGAUGGUCAGCUGAAAUGGAUGAUGCAUAUGUGGCACUUAAAGUAGGCAUUAUGCAGGCCCCAGCUUUAGGACUGCCUAAUUAUUGUAAACCAUUUCAUCUUUAUGCAAGGGACAACUGUAAAACCAUGGCUGUGGUCUGUGCUCAGGAACAUGGAGGUGGUAUGCGUCCUGUAGCAUUUUUCUCCAAAGUAGUCCCUGUUCCGGUUCAGGGGAUGCCGGCGUGUCUUAGGGCCCUGGCUGCUUGUGCAAUGGCUGUUGAGACUGCUACUACUAUCACUCUGGGCCAUCCCACUAUUCUCCAUACAUCACACCAAGUGUUACAUUUGAUCAAGAAUCUCACUACACAACACAUGACAGCACCUGAUAAUGUUCAAAGCAUAUAUAAUACCAAGUGGUUAUGAAAUAAUUCUCUUAAAUUCUACUAAUUUACAGAUCAAGUAUGGCCCUAUUAAUUCUGGCCCUAUGAGUGUACUGCAUGCUAUCCUUACUCAUGACAACCCUAAUCUAAGCAAAACUUAGCCAGAAGAACAUGACUGUAUUCAUGCUAUACAUACACAUACCUCCCCACGCUUAGACCUCAUGGAUAACCCUCAGCCAGGUUCUGAGGAUGUGUUUGUGGAUGGAUCUUGUUCCCGACCUGUUGACGGUCAGUACCAGACAGGGUAUGGAGUAGUCCAAUUACCUGAUAAGGUCCUUGAGGCUAGCUCCAUACCCCACAUGUCAGCCCAAGCUGCUGAGUUGGUUGCCCUUACACUUGCAUGCACUCUAUUCCCUAACAAAGAUGUAAAUAUUUACACUGACUCACGAUACGCUCAUGGGGUUGUGCAUGAUUUGGAAACAAAGAGGAUUCAUUGCAGCUGAUGGUAAAGGCAUUUCUCAUAAGACAUUAAUUGAAGACCUCUUACAAGCUUUACAACUUCCUCGUACAGCGUCUAUCAUCCACUGUAGAGCUCACACUCAAGGUAGGGAUGAUUAGUGAUGCACCGAACGGUUCGCCGGCGAACAGUUCCUGGCGAACAUAGUGUGCUCGCGUCCGCCGCGGACGGCGAACACAUCCGCGGUUCGAUCCGCCCCCUAUUCGUCAUUAUUGAGUAAACUUUGACCCUGUACCUCACAGUCAGCAGACACAUUCCAGCCAAUUAGCAGCACACCCUCCCUAGCAGACCCUCCCACCUACUGGACAGCAUCCAUUUUAGAUUCAUUCUCAAGCUGCAUGCUUAGUGAGAGGAGGGAAAGUGUAGCUGCUGUUGAUUAGAUAGGGAAAUGCAUAGCUAGGUUAGGGUAUACAGUGUCCACUACAGUCCUGAACGACUCAUCUGAUCUCUGCUGUAAGGACAGCACCCCAAAAAGCCCUUUUUAGGGCCACUACUCAUAUCUGGUGUCACAAUAGCUUGCAUUUAAAAACAAAAAACUUUUUUCACUGUUAUAGAUUGAAUAGCAGUCAGUGUCCUUAAAGCGGGUGUGUCAGGCUCACAGUGGAUACUGUGCCCAGUGCCACCACUCACUCACUGGUGUCACAAUAGCUUGCAUUUAAAAACCCAAAACUUUUUUCACUGUUAUAGCUUGAAUAGCAGUUAGUGUCCUUAAAGCGGGUGUGUCAGGCUCACAGUGGAUACUGUGCCCAGUGCCACCACUCACUCACUGGUGUCACAAUAGCUUGCAUUUAAAACCAAAAAACUUUUUUCACUGUUAUAGAUUGAAUAGCAGUUAGUUGUCUGCCAGCUUUGUGUCAGGCUCACAGUGGAUACUGUGCCCAGUGCCACCACUCACUCACUGGUGUCACAAUACCUUGCAUUUAAAAACAAAAAACUUUUUUCACUGUUAUAGAUUGAAUAGCAGUUAGUUGUCUCAAAGCGGGUGUGUCAGGCUCACAGUGGAUACUGUGUCCAGUGCCACCACUCACUCACUGGUGUCACAAUAGCUUGCAUUUAAAAACAAAAAACUUUUUUCACUGUUACAUAGUUACAUAGUUACAUAGCUGAAAAGAGACUUGCGUCCAUCAAGUUCAGCCUACCUCACAUUUGUUUUUUGCUGUUGAUCCAAAAGAAGGCAAAAAAAAACAGUUUGAAACACAAUUUUGCAACAAGCUAGGAAAAAAAUUCCUUCUUGACCCCAGAAUGGCAGUCAGAUUUAUCCUUGGAUCAAGCAGUUAUUACCCUACAUUGAAAGAUUAUAUCCUUGAAUAUUCUGUUCUUGCAAGUAUGCAUCUAGUAGCCGUUUGAACAUCUGUAUGGACUCUGAUAAAACCACUUCUUCAGGCAGAGAAUUCCACAUCCUGAUUGUUCUUACAGUAAAAAACCUUUCCUUUGCCUUAGAUGAAAUCUUCUUUCUUCCAGUCUAAACGCAUGGCCUCGUGUCCUAUGUAAAGUCCGGUUUGUGAAUAGAUUUCCACACAAUGGUUUGUAUUGGCCCCGAAUAUAUUUGUAUAAUGUUAUCAUAUCCCUCUCAGGCGACGUUUUUCUAAACUAAAUAGGUUUAAAUUUGUUAACCUUUCUUCAUAGCUGAUAUGUUCCAUUCCUUUUAUUAAUUUUGUAGCCCGCCUCUGCACUUUUUCUAGUGCCAUAAUAUCCUUCUUUAGAACAGGUGCCCAAAAUUGCACAGCAUAUUCAAUAUGGGGUCUUACCAGUGAUUUAUAAAAAGGCAAAAUUAUAUUCUAGUCCCGAGAAUGAAUGCCCUUUUUCAUGCAUGACAAUACCUUACUGGCCUUGGCCACUGCUGAUUGACAUUGCACAUUGUUGCAUAGUUUGUUGUCGAUAACAAUUCCCAAGUCCUUUUCAUGUGUUGUUAUCCCUAAUUCGCUUCCAUUAAGGGUAUACGUUGCUUGUGUAUUCUUUACGAUGAAGUGCAUAACUUUGCAUUUUUCAACAUUAAAUUUAAUCUGCCAUUUGAGUGCCCAGUCCCCUAGUCUAUCUAAAUCCCUCUGCAGCAAAGUAAUAUCUUGCUCACAUUGUAUUGUUUUACAAAGUUUGGUGUCAUUUGCAAACACUGAAACAUGACUUUCAAUGCAGUCUUCAAGAUCAUUUAUAAACAUGUUAAAUAGAAGGGGUCCCAGAACAGACCCCUGAGGGACACCACUUGCCACCUCUGUCCAGCUUGAAAAUUUACCAUUAAUGACAACUCUUUGUACUCUGUUUUUAAGCCAAUGUUCUACCCAAGAACAAGCAUUUUCAUCUAGACCGAUUUCCUUGAGUUUGAACACUAAUCUAUUGUGUGGAACUGUAUCAAAUGCCUUGGCAAAAUCAAAUAGAUCACAUCCGGCAACACCCUGAUCUAUACUUCUACUUUACUUCAGAGAACGCAAUCAAGUUAGUUUGACAUGACCUGUGCUUCAUAAAACCGUGCUGAUUUUUGCUGAUAACUAUGUUCUUCAAAGAAUUCUUGAAUAUUAUCCCUUAAUAACCUUUCAAAUAUUUUACCAGCCACAGAAGUUAAGCUCACAGGUCUAUAAUUUCCAGGCAAGGAUUUUGAACCCUUUUUGAAUAUAGGAACCACAUCUGCCUUCCUCCAAUCCUCCGGAACACUUCCUGAAAGAAAAGAAUCUUGAAAGAUUAAAAACAGAGGUUCACUUAUUUCUGCACUUAGUUCCUAUAAGUACGCGUGGAUGGAUACCGUCAGGCCCUGGAGCUUUGUUUAUAUUAACUUUCUUUAGUUGCUGCAGCACCUUGUCUUGAGUUAACCAAUUACAAUUAUUCUGCAAGUUUUUAGUAGCAAUCAUUUGCACAUCUAUUGCCAUGGGUUCUUCCUUAAUAUAUACGGAGGAGAAAUAGUUAUUUAAAAUUCCUGCCUUUUCCUGGUCUUCAUUAACUAACACCCCGUUUCAGUUUUAGUUUCUGUUAUAGAUUGAAUGGCAGUCAGUGUCCUUAAAGCGGGUGUGUUACGCUAACAGUGGAUACGGUGCCCAGUGCCACCACUCACUGUUGUCAUAAUAGCUUGCAUUUAAAAACAAAAAACUUUUUUCACUGUUAUAGAUUGAAUAGCAGUCAGUGUCCUUAAAGCAGGUGUGUCAGGCUCACAGUGGAUACUGUGCCCAUUUGCCCAGUGCCAUGACUCAUUUCUGGUGUCACAAUAGCUUAAGCUAAGCUCCGCAGAUCUCUGCCCGUGUACUUUGCCACUCAUAUCUGGUGUCUCUAUAGCGUGCUUUUACAAAGAAAAAAAGUUUUUCAGUGUAAGCUAAUAGCAGUCAGUGUCCUUAAUGCGGGUGUCAGGCCUCCUUCAGCGUGUGCUCUGCAGACCUCUACCCGUGUACUUUGCCACUCAUAUCUGGUGUCUCUAUAGCGUGCUUUUACAAAGAAAAAAAGUUUUCAGUGUAAGCUAAUAGCAGUCAGUGUCCUUAAAGCGGGUGUCAGGCCUCCUUCAGCGUGUGCUCUGCAGACCUCUGCCCGUGUACUUUGCCACUCAUAUCUGGUGUCUCUAUAGCGUGCUUUUACAAAGAAAAAAAGUUUUUCAGUGUAAGCUAAUAGCAGUCAAUGUCCUUAUAGCGGGUGUCAGGCCUCCUUCAGCGUGUGCUCUGCAGACCUCUGCCAGUGUACUUUGCCACUCAUAUCUGGUGUCACAAUAGCAUGCAUUUAAAACCCAAAAACUUUUUUUCACUGUUAUAGAUUGAAUAGCAGUUAGUUGUCUCAAAGCGGGUGUGUCAGGCUCACAGUGGAUACUGUGCCCAGUGCCACCACUCACUCUCUGGUGUCACAAUAGCUUGCAUUUAAAAACAAAAAACUUUUUUCACUGUUAUAGAUUGAAUAGCAGUUGGUUUUCUCAAAGCGGGUGAGUCAGGCUCACAGUGGAUACUGUGCCCAGUGCCACCACUCACUCACUGGUGUCACAAUAGCUUGCAUUUAAAAACAAAAAACUUUUUCACUGUUAUAGAUUGAAUAGCAGUUAGUUGUCUCAAAGCGGGUGUGUCAGGCUCACAGUGGAUACUGUGCCCAGUGCCACCACUCACUCACUAGUGUCACAAUAGCUUGCAUUUAAAACCAAAAAACUUUUUUCACUGUUAUAGAUUGAAUAUAAAAGUGGCCUCUUUGAGAGAAAUAUUUCCCACAAUCAGAACAAAAAUAAGGUCUCUCUCCUGUAUGGCUCCUCAAAUGAUGCUUAAGAUGAGAAGCGGCUGAAAAACAUUUCUCACACUCAGAACAAAAUUUUUUUUUUUUUAACAUUCUCUCCACUUUGAACAAAAUGACGUUUGGGAAGAGAUUUUGUCUGAGUAGGUUUUUCAUGUACGAUACGGGAACAUGAUUUAGAUCCUUGGUAAGUUUUGCAAGAUCCAAUAGUGUGUAUGAACAGUCAAUCCAUAUCUGCCAAGUGACCCUAUGUAGGAGGAACAGUCUCUAUUCUGCUCUGUGUCAGUGUGUAUCAGGGGCUCUGAGGACAGGUGUCAAUCCAUAUCUGCCAAGUGACCCUAUGUAGGGGAAACAGUCUCUAUUCUGCUCUGUGUCAGUGUGUAUCAUGGUCUCUGGGGACAGGUGUCAAUCCAUAUCUGCCAAGUGACCCUAUGUAGGAGGAACAGUCUCUAUUCUGCUCUGUGUCAGUGUGUAUCAGGGUCUCUGAGGACAGGUGUCAAUCCAUAUGUCAAGGUGUCAAUAUGCCAUAUGUCAGGUGUCAAUCCAUAUCCAUUGUGAUUUAGGAAUGUUAGGUGAUUUAUGCCCUUUAUGGAUUAAGACCAGACUCUGCAUCAACUGUGUAAUUUUCCAUGGGAGUUUUGCCAUGGAUCCCCCUCCGGCAUGCCACAGUCCAGGUGUUAGUCCCCUUGAAACAACUUUUCCAUCACUAUUGUGGCCAGAAAGAGUCUUGGGGUGUUUUAAAAUUCGCCUGCCCAUUGAAGUCUAUGGCGGUUCGCCCGGUUCGCCGGUUCGCGAACAUUUGAUAUAUCCCUAGGCAAUUCACUAGCAGAUAGAAUUGCCAAAGAGGUAGCGUCUCGGACCAUUUAUUAUCGUAUGAUAUUUCCAAUUUUUAGUCCACCUACCUGCCCAGAAGAACAGUUGUUGCAAGAACUUCAGGGUUUUGCAACCCAUGAGGAUAUUGCAUACUGGAAAAAAACAGGGUUUGGAAAAAGACCAAAAUGGCCUUUAUUCCAAAGAGGGGAAGAUAGGGAUACCAGAAAGUAGUGCCCCUAUUUUUAUUUCCCAGGCACACGGAGUGGGUCACAAGGGUCUUAAGGUCACUUUGGGUCUUAUUCAACAACAUUUUGUAAUUUUAAAUCUCUCUCUCCACUGUCAGGUAUACUUACAGAGGUGUGUCCAAUGCUUACAGACCAAUACUACUGUCACACACAAGUCUAGACAUGAACACCUCCCACCACCUACAGGCCCUUUCACCCAUUUACAGGUAGAUUUCACCCACAUCCCCAAGACAGGUAAGCGACAACAAUACUUACUGGUGAUUGUGGAUCACUUCUCAAAAUGGCCCGAGGCCUUUGUUACUAAUAAGGAGGAUGCUAGGACUGUGGUGAAAAUACUGACCACUGAAAUUACUCCUAGGUAUGGCUGCCCAUUGCAGAUCAAUUCUGAUAAUGGCCCUGCCUUUGCUAGCAAAAUUACACAGGAACUGGCCAAAUGGUUACAGGUUACCUGGAAAUUCAAUGUACCCUACCAUCCCCAGAGUUCAGGUAUAGUAGAAAGGAUGAAUAGGACAAUUAAGGAAAAACUGAUGAAGGCCACAGAUGGCACAUGGGUUCACUGGCAAACAUAAUUACCUGCUAUUUUAGCUGAAAUAAGAAUGACCCCUAACAGGACUACUAAAUUGUCACCGUUUGAGAUACUCAUGGGAAGACCAUUUCCUACUCCUUGGGUGAAGGGACGAUUUGUUAUUAUGAUUUAGAAUUAAUCCAGGAAGAGUAUGUUAAACAGUUAAUUUUUAAACUCAACUCUGUAUAUGGUGAUGUUUCCGUGCAGUUUCCUCUACCCUCACGGGAGCCUACACAUCCUUACCAGCCUGGUGAUCUGGUCUGUAUCCGACAGCUGAACAAGAGCAGGAAGGGAAAGUUUCCUUUUGGCCCCCUACCACUGUGAUUUCCGUGACCCGAACCGCUGUGCUCACCGAUUCCCAAGAUAUCUGGAUCCAUGCAUCCCGUCUGAAGCUGUGUCCAAAGAGGGGUUAAGUAGGAGACAAGCUCAAGGCCCUUACUCCGAUUGGCCCUGAUGACCCAACAUCCUUAUCUGAAGUGCUAUGGCUAAAGUAAACCUAUUGGAUCCCUUGCAUGGGGCAAAUCAUUUUUUCAUCAUCCUAAUUCUCUCCAUGAUUCUAUUCCUUCUCGUCCUUCUUGAUUGUCACUAUGAUUAUGAGAAUAUGAGAGAGUUCCAGAAAGUCUGUUUCUGGAAAGAUCACAACUCCACCAGUUACAGUGUCCAAUUAGGCCUUGAUCAUCCUACUAAUAGAACCAGACACAAAAGAUCACUACCCACAGACAAGACUUUGCAAACUCACACCAAUUGUUCUUCUAAAUCAGUAUUUUGGUGGAGCCGUGCCAAAGAGACUAGAACACAAGAGGAUUUUAUAUGUAAUGGUGGCAAAACCUGCCUUGUACUUAAUAUUACAACUAAUGGUCAAAUAUGUAUUGCUGCAAAGACUGCACAAGUAGUGGUCAAACCAUUGCAUGAUGAUUCAGUAAAUUGCUCUAUAACAAUUACUAACACUACUGGUUUUUAUACUCUUGCUUGGCUAUUUGCAGAGCCUUAUCCUUUCACAAACAAAGGGGUUGGUUCAAUAUUUUAUUAUUUGCAAAAUAAUACCAAAAGAUACCAUCUUAGGGGGUACGGGAACAGCUAUGGGAAUAUUAAAUGGUGUAGAUAUGGAAAUAGUAAAGAAUAAGUUAUCCACGGCAGGGAAAGAAUUAGGGAUAGGAUUCCAUGUAAUGGCUAAAUGGGCCCCUACCAUGGUACAAUCACAAUGGCAGGAAUUACAACUAGAACAAUCUAUGUACACCUAUCUAGGUAAUCUAACAUAUGCUAUUACUAACCUAACAAAAGGAAGCACUGACUGGACCUUAUGUGCCACUAGAGUUUUAUGGAUGCAUCAACAGAGGUUAAGACUAGAGAAUACUCUUAUGAUACCUAAAAUACAGAAAGUCAGAGAAAUGAUGGAAUUGACUGACAACUACUGGAUUAGUUUAAGGUCAAAUGAUGUAUAUUGUGAAGAAUGGGUAGAAGACGAGAUAUCGAGUUAUUCAUGUAGGGUUGGAUUUACGUUAUAUGAAGUUGCUCCAACCCAUAUAAAACUAGCAUGUAAGUUCUUCACUUUACCUACACCUAUGUUUAAUAUACUUAAUAAUAAUCUUACUUGGUGGAAUCCAACUUUUACAGGAGAAUAUAUAUUCCCCAAGGAUAAUAAAACAUAUUCAUUAGAACACCGUGACAAGGCAGAUAAAGGUUACACAUGCAGACAUUCCUCACCCAUCUAUGAACCAUGCUUAUUAGCUAAUCAAAUAAGUAGUUGUACUUGGCAUGUAUAUCCAUCGGAUUAUUCAGUUAUGUUAGAAAUAGAACCACAAAUAGUGUGCCUAGCCAACAACCAACCUGUCAAUAUUCUCGAAGUUGAUAAACAUUUAUCCUUUGUGGGAUGUAUAUCAAAUGCAACCUGGAUAAAGUGGAAAGAUCAUACUUAUUUCCUGCAACCUAUUCCUAGUAUAUACAGAUCCAAAAUAUAUAUUCCACCUGCGUUACCUAUCGUUGAUUAUCAACUUCCCACAGGAAUAAUAAUCAAUUUACUAAAAGGAAAGGAGAUAUGUUUAAACAUUUGAAAGCACAUAAAGAUGCCUUAGUACAUACUGAAAUAUCCACCCACAUAGUUGAAAGGGAAUUAAUUAAAGUUAGUUCUAAAAUCCAGGAAAAUUUUGCUCAUCAUUGGUAUGAUGCCCUCACAGGUUGGUCCCCUACUGGCGCACAAGUUGUAAGGUCCUUUUUCUACCCUCUUGUCAUCAUUGUGAUAAUACUUGCAAUAAUGAUAUUGUUUAAUUGUUAUCUAACUUGCACACUUAAGAAACGUGUACAACAGAUGAUUACAGAAGCUGAAAAUCGACAGCUCGAUCUCCUCUUAAAGGGAAAACCUAUGGCACAGAGCAAAUGGGGGAAAUCGAGGUGAAGAAAUAAUGAAAGUCCCACAGACGUGAUUAGCACGUCUGAAUAUACCUCCUUUCAUUUCUCUGCCGCAGGCCUCCCAUGGAUAUUCCGUAAGGUAGAUCACGAUAUGAUCUAAAGAGAGGAAUUGUAGGAUAUGAAUAUCCAUUUUGCUUAAUAUCCUAGCUGUUCAUAUAAGGGUUAAUUUGAACCAAGAAUAAAUUUGGAAUUGUAUCUCCAAUUCUCGGAAAUAAAAUUUAUCUAAAAUCCUAUUUACGGGAAAUGUUAUUGGAAAAGGAUUUUGUUAUGUUCUUGGAAAAGGAUUUUUACAUGAUAUGUUCUUGGAUAAGGAUUUUGGAAUGUUCUUGUUAAUUGUCCAAGAUUUCGGUAUUUGUAAUCAUCUGGGUUUUAUCCAAUAUGCAUACAUUAUAUAACAUUGAAUUAUAACUAAAAACAGCUGUUUAUAACUUGUGAAAAAUAAACUAUAUCACAAUGCUCAUGACCCCCACCGAC